AACGAACGCUGGCGGCAUGCCUAAUACAUGCAAGUCGAACGAUGCUUUCGGGCAUAGUGGCGCACGGGUGCGUAACGCGUGGGAAUCUGCCUUGGGGUUCGGAAUAACAGUUGGAAACGACUGCUAAUACCGGAUGAUGACGUAAGUCCAAAGAUUUAUCGCCCUGAGAUGAGCCCGCGUCGGAUUAGCUAGUUGGUGGGGUAAAGGCCUACCAAGGCGACGAUCCGUAGCUGGUCUGAGAGGAUGAUCAGCCACACUGGGACUGAGACACGGCCCAGACUCCUACGGGAGGCAGCAGUAGGGAAUAUUGGACAAUGGGCGAAAGCCUGAUCCAGCAAUGCCGCGUGAGUGAUGAAGGCCUUAGGGUUGUAAAGCUCUUUUACCCGGGAAGAUAAUGACUGUACCGGGAGAAUAAGCCCCGGCUAACUCCGUGCCAGCAGCCGCCGUAACAC
rnacentral:rRNA from 1 species